rnacentral:misc_RNA from 1 species
GGUCGUGCACGCCCGAGUGCUCUCACACAAUCCAUCUCACCCCUUGUGCACCACCGCGUGGGUCCCUCUCUGGCUCGUCCGGAGGGGGGCUCGCGUUUUCACACAAACUUGAAGUAGUGUAGAAUGUCCUUUUUUGCGAUAACACGCAAUCAAUACAACUUUCAACAACGGAUCUCUUGGCUCUCGCAUCGAUGAAGAACGCAGCGAAAUGCGAUACGUAAUGUGAAUUGCAGAAUUCAGUGAAUCAUCGAAUCUUUGAACGCACCUUGCGCCCCUUGGCAUUCCGAGGGGCACACCCGUUUGAGUGUCGUGAAAUUCUCAAAACCCUUUCUUUUGGUCAUUUUUGACCAUGGAAAGGAUUUUGGACUUGGAGGCCUUUUUGCUGGUUUCAACCUUGAAGCGAGCUCCUCCCAAAUGUAUUAGUGGGGUCUGCAUUGUCGGUCCUUGGCGUGAUAAGUUGUUUCUACGUCUUGGAUUUUUGGCGCUGUACACCUGCUUCUAACCGUCUCAUUGACAACGAUGGUGUUCCGGUCGCCGCCGAUUUUUCGGUGGGAGGCUUGACCCACGAAACAAACCUUGACCUCAAAUCGGGUGAGACUACCCGCUGAACUUAAGCAU